rnacentral:rRNA from 1 species
GGAGCCAGCCGCCGAAGGUGGGGUAGAUGAUUGGGGUGAAGUCGUAACAAGGUAGCCGUAUCGGAAGGUGCGGCUGGAUCACCUCCUUU